rnacentral:tRNA from 1 species
AGGCCGUUGAGGUGCGCGGCGACCUCUUCGUUGUCGUAGAAGACGAAGGUGAGGUCGCGGUUCGGCUCGGUGACGGUCUGC